GUGGGUAUAGCUCAUGGGUAAGGCACAUGAUUAGCAUGCAUGUGGUCCUGGGUUCAAUCUCCAGUAUCUCCA
rnacentral:tRNA from 1 species